GGGUCUGUAGCUCAGGUGGUUAGAGCACACCCCUGAUAAGGGUGAGGUCGGUGGUUCAAGUCCACUCAGACCCA
rfam:Avibacterium paragallinarum strain CL AvpgCL_contig_154, whole genome shotgun sequence.